AUUGAACGCUGGCGGCAGGCUUAACACAUGCAAGUCGAGCGAGCCGCGGACGGGUGAGUAAUGUCUGUGAACCUGCCUCAUGUAGGGGGAUAACUACUGGAAACGGUAGCUAAUACCGCAUACCAUAAGAUUUGCCCAGCUGGGAUUAGCUAGUAGGUGGGGUAAUGGCUCACCUACGGGACGAUCCGUAGCUGGUCUGAGAGGAUGACAGGCCACACUGGAACAGAGACACGGUCCAGAGUCCUACGGGAGGAAGCAGUGGGGAAGAUUGGACGAUGGGCGCAAGCCUGAUGCAGCCAUGCCGCGUGUGUGAAGGAGGCCUGCGGGUUGUAAAGCACUUUCAGCGAGGAGGCGUUACUCGCAGAAGAAGCACCGGCUAACUCCGUGCCAGCAGCCGCGGUAAUUC
rnacentral:rRNA from 1 species